rnacentral:rRNA from 1 species
AAUGGGUCAGCGACUUAUAUUCUGUAGCAAGGUUAACCGAAUAGGGGAGCCGAAGGGAAACCGAGUCUUAACUGGGCGUUAAGUUGCAGGGUAUAGACCCGAAACCCGGUGAUCUAGCCAUGGGCAGGUUGAAGGUUGGGUAACACUAACUGGAGGACCGAACCGACUAAUGUUGAAAAAUUAGCGGAUGACUUGUGGCUGGGGGUGAAAGGCCAAUCAAACCGGGAGAUAGCUGGUUCUCCCCGAAAGCUAUUUAGGUAGCGCCUCGUGAAUUCAUCUCCGGGGGUAGAGCACUGUUUCGGCAAGGGGGUCAUCCCGACUUACCAACCCGAUGCAAACUGCGAAUACCGGAGAAUGUUAUCACGGGAGACACACGGCGGGUGCUAACGUCCGUCGUGAAGAGGGAAACAACCCAGACCGCCAGCUAAGGUCCCAAAGUCAUGGUUAAGUGGGAAACGAUGUGGGAAGGCCCAGACAGCCAGGAUGUUGGCUUAGAAGCAGCCAUCAUUUAAAGAAAGCGUAAUAGCUCACUGGUCGAGUCGGCCUGCGCGGAAGAUGUAACGGGGCUAAACCAUGCACCGAAGCUGCGGCAGCGACACUAUGUGUUGUUGGGUAGGGGAGCGUUCUGUAAGCCUGUGAAGGUGUACUGUGAGGUAUGCUGGAGGUAUCAGAAGUGCGAAUGCUGACAUAAGUAACGAUAAAGCGGGUGAAAAGCCCGCUCGCCGGAAGACCAAGGGUUCCUGUCCAACGUUAAUCGGGGCAGGGUGAGUCGACCCCUAAGGCGAGGCCGAAAGGCGUAGUCGAUGGGAAACAGGUUAAUAUUCCUGUACUUGGUGUUACUGCGAAGGGGGGACGGAGAAGGCUAUGUUGGCCGGGCGACGGUUGUCCCGGUUUAAGCGUGUAGGCUGGUUUUCCAGGCAAAUCCGGAAAAUCAAGGCUGAGGCGUGAUGACGAGGCACUACGGUGCUGAAGCAACAAAUGCCCUGCUUCCAGGAAAAGCCUCUAAGCAUCAGGUAACAUCAAAUCGUACCCCAAACCGACACAGGUGGUCAGGUAGAGAAUACCAAGGCGCUUGAGAGAACUCGGGUGAAGGAACUAGGCAAAAUGGUGCCGUAACUUCGGGAGAAGGCACGCUGAUAUGUAGGUGAAGUCCCUCGCGGAUGGAGCUGAAAUCAGUCGAAGAUACCAGCUGGCUGCAACUGUUUAUUAAAAACACAGCACUGUGCAAACACGAAAGUGGACGUAUACGGUGUGACGCCUGCCCGGUGCCGGAAGGUUAAUUGAUGGGGUUAGCGCAAGCGAAGCUCUUGAUCGAAGCCCCGGUAAACGGCGGCCGUAACUAUAACGGUCCUAAGGUAGCGAAAUUCCUUGUCGGGUAAGUUCCGACCUGCACGAAUGGCGUAAUGAUGGCCAGGCUGUCUCCACCCGAGACUCAGUGAAAUUGAACUCGCUGUGAAGAUGCAGUGUACCCGCGGCAAGACGGAAAGACCCCGUGAACCUUUACUAUAGCUUGACACUGAACAUUGAGCCUUGAUGUGUAGGAUAGGUGGGAGGCUUUGAAGUGUGGACGCCAGUCUGCAUGGAGCCGACCUUGAAAUACCACCCUUUAAUGUUUGAUGUUCUAACGUUGACCCGUAAUCCGGGUUGCGGACAGUGUCUGGUGGGUAGUUUGACUGGGGCGGUCUCCUCCUAAAGAGUAACGGAGGAGCACGAAGGUUGGCUAAUCCUGGUCGGACAUCAGGAGGUUAGUGCAAUGGCAUAAGCCAGCUUGACUGCGAGCGUGACGGCGCGAGCAGGUGCGAAAGCAGGUCAUAGUGAUCCGGUGGUUCUGAAUGGAAGGGCCAUCGCUCAACGGAUAAAAGGUACUCCGGGGAUAACAGGCUGAUACCGCCCAAGAGUUCAUAUCGACGGCGGUGUUUGGCACCUCGAUGUCGGCUCAUCACAUCCUGGGGCUGAAGUAGGUCCCAAGGGUAUGGCUGUUCGCCAUUUAAAGUGGUACGCGAGCUGGGUUUAGAACGUCGUGAGACAGUUCGGUCCCUAUCUGCCGUGGGCGCUGGAGAACUGAGGGGGGCUGCUCCUAGUACGAGAGGACCGGAGUGGACGCAUCACUGGUGUUCGGGUUGUCAUGCCAAUGGCACUGCCCGGUAGCUAAAUGCGGAAGAGAUAAGUGCUGAAAGCAUCUAAGCACGAAACUUGCCCCGAGAUGAGUUCUCCCUGACCCUUUAAGGGUCCUGAAGGAACGUUGAAGACGACGACGUUGAUAGGCCGGGUGUGUAAGCGCAGCGAUGCGUUGAGCUAACCGGUACUAAUGAACCGUGAGG